UUUUAUAGUGCUGUCAGUCAGACUUUAGACUCCUAACAGCAGUCUAAUCUCUGCUCCUCUUUCUCCAGGUUCCCAGCAGCCCCGCGUGGUGGAAGGGGGUGCCCAUAACCCUGUAUCCCGGCUCCCCGCAGAUGACCCAGUGGUCCGCAUGCCGGACGUUCAGAGGAGCGUGGGAAACACGGCAAUGAAGAUGGCCUCCCUCUCAAUCCUCCUCACCCUGCUUCCCGGGCUCUGCCUGUUUCUGCUGUGAGGACUACAAGUCCCAGAGACACUGAAGUGGACUACAAAUAUGGUGGCCCGGGUAGGCCUGUAGCUGGCUGCCCCCCCACUUUUUGCCUGACCGGUGCUGGACACCGGGGAGAGAUCACUCUCAACGGGGAGAGUGCAAGAGCCAUUUUUUUUAAAAAAACUUUAUAUAUAAAACAAAUUUACUGAAGAACUGAGGCCUGUGACGCUUCUUAGUGAAUGCCUGGAGCAUAGGAAGUGUGCAGCGCACAGACGUGGGACUGGCGGAGACCCCCAAUUCUAACUCCGAGGUGUCUUGCAGCUGACACUCGACAACCUGCCUGCAAGCUGCGCCCCAAAACUACAGGACACUAAAGAGACAACUGUGGCUCCAUGUCUGUGGGUCUGAACUGCAGGUGUCUGUGGCGCCCGUAGAGAUGUGGGGUUGACGUUGCUGCUGUUGUUCACUGGGGGGGGGGUUAGUCUCGAUCCUGACGGGGAGCUGGUCUCCCCACUGUAGCACCUUCCACCACCAACCCCCUUCCCCCAGAUACAGGCGGACAGUGUGCUCAGCGCCGCCCCCUGCUGCUCCAGCGCCGACAUGACGCACGACUCGCCUGACUGCGUGGUGGGGGGCGGGGUCAGGAGGGGGACUCUGGCCAAUCCGCUGCAGAGCUCCGACACGACCUCGCACCUCGAUCGCCCCGCCGAUCAAUGAAGUGACUGACGAGCGGGCAGGCGCUGGGGACGGAGAGACGUUAACGAGCCAAUUAAGUGCUGGAAUGGGUUUGGCUGAUUGCCGUACACAGAGCAGUGGAUCGGGGGGGGGGGGUGUUCUGUGCAUUUUGCCGUUUUUCCCAUUUUAAAGUUGAUCGUCUCCCAGUCGGCGGUUCUGGCGGUCCUGGCAGGACCCGGCCCGUUCUCUCACACCCGGGCCAGACUGGCGGUCUGGCUGCUUUGUUCUCAAGAUUUUUCUCUUUUGUUUCCGUUUCUGUACAGGUGUAUGUAAGACUGUAAAGUAAAAACUGAAUUGUACAUAGGAGUAUAUAAAAGCCAAUGUCUGAUCAUUGAAACCUUGCUUCCGAAAGUGAAUAAAAUGUUUCUACCAAUGGGA